rnacentral:rRNA from 1 species
CCUACGGGUGGCAGCAGUGAGGAAUAUUGGUCAAUGGACGAAAGGCUGAACCAGCCAAGUCGCGUGAAGGAUGACUGACCUAUGGUUUGUAAACUUCUUUUAUAAGGGAAUAAAACUAUGCACGUGUGGCUAUUUGCAUGUACUCUAUGAAUAAGCAUCGGCUAACUCCGUGCCAGCAGCCGCGGUAAUACGGAGGAUGCGAGCGUUAUCCGGAUUUAUUGGGUUUAAAGGGUGCGUAGGUUGGUUUUUAAGUCAGCGGUUAAAGUUUGGGGGUCAACCAUAAAAUUGCCGAUGAAACUGGACGGCAUGAGGGAGAGUGAGGGAGGGCGAAAGCGGGGUGUAGCGGUGAAAUGCUUAGAUAUCACGCAGAACCCCGAUUGCGAAGGCAGCUUACUAAGCCGUGACUGACACUGAGGUGCGAAAGCGUGGGUAGCAAACAGGAUUAGAUACCCGAGUAGUC